rnacentral:lncRNA from 1 species
GGCAGGUGUUUGGGAAGGGGAUGUUGGGGAAGGAGGUGUUGGGGAAGGGGGAAGGAGGUGUUGGGAAGGAGGUGUUGGGAAGGAGGUGUUUGGGAAAGAGGGGUUUGGGAAGGAGGUGUUGGGAAGGCGGUGUUGGGAAGGCGGUGUUGGGAAGGAGGUGUCCGGGAAGGAGGUGUUGGGAAGGAGGUGUUUGGGAAAGAGGUGUUGGGGAAGGAGGUGUUGGGAAGGAGGUGUUGGGGAAGGAGGUGUUGAGAAGGAGGUGUUUGGGAAGGAGGUGUCUGGGAAGCCUGAUCAGGUAUCACAUCUCCCUUGGGAAUCUUGCCUUCUUGCAGUGAGUAUUUGCAACUGUAUGUCCCUUAACAAAGAAGGACUUGUGUGGACCACAUCCUCACAGAACACAGCAUGUAUUACUUGAAGGACUGACCCAAUCUGUGUCUGUGGUGUUUGGGACAAUAGCUGAGAUAAUAAGGCCUUCCAAUUCCCCCAGGUUCUCCAAUCAUGCCACAUGACCCUCUUAACAUCUCUGAUACAAUAACCAGAGAGGGGAUAGUCAUCCCCAUUGUUAAGAUGCAGAUGCAGAAAUUC